UCACCUAGGUGAAGAAAUUUGGGGGACUGUUGUGUUUGUUUCUGUUUCAUAAGAAUUCUUAUAUUACUCUUUUUAUUUUUCAGAUCAACUGAAGGAAAAUGAUCAACUGAAGGAAAAUGAUCAACUUAGGAAGGAAAAUGGUAAACUUUUAUGACUCUUUACAAAAUACGAUCUCCCUAUUAACCAUUUCAUAAGAAGUCUUAUAUUACUCUUUUUAUUUUUCAGAUCAACUGAAGGAAAAUGAUCAACUGGGAGGAAAAUGGUAAACUUUUAUGACUCUUUACAAAAUAUGAUCUCCCUAUUAACUGUUUCAUAAGAAGUCUUAUAAUACUCUUUUUGUUUUUU
rnacentral:lncRNA from 1 species